AUGGUAGGCCAGAUGGCCCCUCUCCAGAACUGUUCUCUGUAUUGCUGCAGCAUACCGCCUGGCCUGAGUUUCCUGGACAUGCAUCCCAGCCCUGGAAGGAAAUUAGCAGACUCGGCUCAACUCCACAUUAAGGGAGAAAUGGAGCCUCUCAGAGGCAGGUUCAUUUGUUCAUGCUUUCGUUCAUUUCAACUGUUAUUUCUUGAGUGUACUCAGGCAGGCAUUAGGAGAUGGGCCUUUAGUGGGCCCAAGGGGGUUGAUUUCUUAGACCUUUGCUCUUGUUUGCAGUCUCACAUCAUCUCUUUUUUUAUACCUCUGCAGAGGAAAAGAGGACCAUCUGUCAGAAAAGAGGACAUUGGAGGGAGGAGCAACGCAUUUCCCCAUCCUUCCAGCAACCGCCUGCCCCAGGCUGCAAGCCCACCAUGUGCUGUAACCCGGGAGUGUGCUGAGCCCUGCUUGCAGAGGCUGUCGGACUGGCUGUGUACAUCUCUUCCCAAAUCCAUGACAUCAUGUUGGUACCUUGAAAUUAGCCAUGGAAGGAGCACAUACACCAUGAACUUAGCAAACAGUACUGCAAAUCAAGGUGUGCAUGUUUGUAUGUGGUUUGUCAAGGUAUGCAUGUGUGCAUGUGUGUUUGUGGUUUGUCAAGGUGUGCAUGUGUGUAUGUGGUUUGUCAAGGUGUGCAUGUGUGCAUGUGUGCAUGUGUGUAUGUGGUUUGUCAAGGUGUGCAUGUGUGCAUGGGUGUUUGUGGUUUGUCGGAGAGCUAGCUUAUCAGCCCAUUACUGCACACACCACGGGAUAUCUCCCCAAGAGACAAGAUGACAAACCUCAUGCCAUUCUUCUUUCUCCAGAAACUGCAUUUAGGAUAAUGCAGAGUACACACUUGUCUUUCCUCAUGAUUCCCUCUAGAGCCAUUAUCAUCUGUCAAGCAGAACUUUCAUUAUGAACUUUUCAUUCCAAAAAGGCACUAAACCCCCAAAGUCAACAGACUCAUGACUUCCCUUGUCACAAACACAGACCCAGCAUUUCUUCAGAUCUGCUGACUCCCUUUCCAAAAUUCUCAGCUCGCACUUUUGGCUUUUUCAUUUUCCUCAGCCCUGUUGAAUCCCCUACUCCUGGCAUAAAUUACAGACAGGCCUGCAUCUAAUCCCAGCUCUAUCACUAUAGAUUGUCUUUAAGCCUCAGUUGUAUCAUCCCUAAAAUGGGGAUUCUAGUAGUACCUAGCCUCAAAAGACUGGUUUGAAGACUAAGUUUCUGAAAGUAUACAAAGCACAAAGCAGAAGCCUGGCAUGAAAGGAGAGGUUGCUGCUAUCACACACUCUACCAGCAACCAGACCCUGCACACUUACAAACAUUUACCUGCUGCCAGCUCUGUCCAGACACGAUAUAAACAGGGUGAAUGCACCAUCCUCUUCCCUACUUUCUGGGCAUUGAUUAUAUGGGUCCCUUAUUCUGCAAGGCCUUUUCCUACCUAUUGGAGUUCUAGCCCUAUUGGGGUUCUUCAAAACCCUACUUGAAUUCCACCCUUAUAAAAAUUCUUUGCUGAUCCUCCCAGUUGUAAUUAAACCCUGGAUUCUUUGCUCUUCAGCAAAGAGCAGAGGCCACUGAGUUCCCCAAAUGGCAACAUUACUUUUCUCCUCCCCAUCAUCCUCACUUUGCCUGAAAAGUUGAUGGAAAUUUGCAACUUUUCUGUAGAUCUAAAGUUAUUCCAAAAUAAAAAGCGUGACGGAAAAGAAAAUCUCUGACA
rnacentral:lncRNA from 13 species